UACGGAGGGAGCAAGCGUUGUUCGGAAUUACUGGGCGUAAAGGGCGCGUAGGCGGCCGAAUAAGUCGUGUGUGAAAGGCCGGGGCUCAACCCCGCGUAUUGCAUGCGAUACUGUACGGCUAGAGACAGGUAGGGGCGAGCGGAAUUUCCGGUGUAGCGGUGGAAUGCGUAGAUAUCGGAAAGAACACCCGUGGCGAAGGCGGCUCGCUGGGCCUGUACUGACGCUGAAGCGCGAAAGCGUGGGGAUCAAACAGG
rnacentral:rRNA from 1 species